UCACAAGCAACAAGGCUGAACACACCACUAGAAAGGCGUUAAACAGGAGAAGGUGGCCACUUGCUGCUGUAUUUGUAAAAGAACGGCUGGUUCGGCACAAUCAUCGAACAUUUAGAAGUCAUAUUUUGUGAGGGAUUCCUGGCUUGCAAGUUUGGUACAUAAAGGAAUUGUAGACUCCGAGCAAGAUUGCAGUGACCCUUCGAGGACAAUGGAGACCCUGACCACAUUUUUCAGAUGGUACCUGUACGCUAUUCACGGUUAUUUCUGUGAGGUGAUGUUCACAGCUGCAUGGGCGUUCGUUGAAAGUGCAAACUGGAAAUUUCCUGGGAUCACCAGUGUGUGGUCUUUGUUUAUUUAUGGCACAGGAAUCCUCAUAAUUGAGAAAAUGUACCUUUACCUUUGGAGAAGGUGCAACAUCCUAACCAGGUGUCUCAUUUAUACACUCUGGACGUACAUUUGGGAGUUUAUGACUGGUUUUACCCUCCGACAGUUUAAUGCCUGCCCGUGGGAUUAUUCUGCCUUCCGCUGGAACUUCAUGGGGCUAGUCACACUGGAGUAUGCGUUGCCAUGGUUCCUUGCCUCAGCAAUUGCAGAGCAGAUGGUCAUUAAAAACACUUUACGGUUGCGCCUCGAUGGAUCGGGAGAUCCUGGUACAAACCGCACAAUGUGCACCAAGAAUACUAAGCACAAAAAAGUCCAGUAAGAUGUGUAACUCACUUGCUGUGUUUAGGAGUUAGCUAUGGUUUUUACAUCAGUGUUCUACGUGAUAGGGCACUACAUCAAAUGUAAUUCUUCUU